CCGCAUAACGUCGCAAGACCAAAGAGGGGGACCUUCGGGCCUCUUGCCAUCAGAUGUGCCCAGAUGGGAUUAGCUUGUUGGUGAGGUAACGGCUCACCAAGGCGACGAUCCCUAGCUGGUCUGAGAGGAUGACCAGCCACACUGGAACUGAGACACGGUCCAGACUCCUACGGGAGGCAGCAGUGGGGAAUAUUGCACAAUGGGCGCAAGCCUGAUGCAGCCAUGCCGCGUGUAUGAAGAAGGCCUUCGGGUUGUAAAGUACUUUCAGCGGGGAGGAAGGUGUUGUGGUUAAUAACCGCAGCAAUUGACGUUACCCGCAGAAGAAGCACCGGCUAACUCCGUGCCAGCAGCCGCGGUAAUACGGAGGGUGCAAGCGUUAAUCGGAAUUACUGGGCGUAAAGCGCACGCAGGCGGUCUGUCAAGUCGGAUGUGAAAUCCCCGGGCUCAACCUGGGAACUGCAUUCGAAACUGGCAGGCUUGAGUCUUGUAGAGGGGGGUAGAAUUCCAGGUGUAGCGGUGAAAUGCGUAGAGAUCUGGAGGAAUACCGGUGGCGAAGGCGGCCCCCUGGACAAAGACUGACGCUCAGGUGCGAAAGCGUGGG
rnacentral:rRNA from 1 species